rnacentral:rRNA from 1 species
UACGUAGGGCGCAAGCGUUAUCCGGAAUUAUUGGGCGUAAAGAGCUCGUAGGCGGUUUGUCGCGUCUGCCGUGAAAGUCCGGGGCUCAACUCCGGGCCUGCAGUGGGUACGGGCAGACUAGAGUGCGGUAGGGGAGACUGGAAUUCCUGGUGUAGCGGUGAAAUGCGCAGAUAUCAGGAGGAACACCGGUGGCGAAGGCGGGUCUCUGGGCCGUAACUGACGCUGAGGAGCGAAAGCGUGGGGAGCGAACAGG